ACUCAAAGGAAUAGACGGGGACUUGCACAAGCAGUGGAUUAUGUGGUUUAAUUCGACGACAAACGAAGAACCUUACCAGGGUUAGAAAUCUAGUUGAAGACAUUGGGAAACCUUUGUCGCCGCAAGGCAAUUAGACAGGUGAUGCAUGGCCGUCGUCAGUUCGUGGUUUGAAUUGUUCCCUUAAGUGGGGUAACGAACGCAACCCUCGUUGGCUGUUACAAGUGUCAGCCGAGACUGCCCCAGAUUUUGUUCGCAAAUUUUUGUUAACAAAAUCUGGGGAGGAAGGCGAGGAUGACGCCAGGUCAGCAUGUCCCUCUGAUAUCCUGGGCUACACACAUAAUACAAUCGCCGUUACAACGCGACGCAAAACCGUAAGGUAGAGCAAAUCGUCAGAAAAGCGGCGCCAGUUCGGAUUGAGGUCUGCAACUCGACCUCAUGAAGCCGGAAUUGCUAGUAAUCGCGGGUCAGCUAUACCGCGGUGAAUACGUUCUCAAGUCUUGUACACACCGCCCGU
rnacentral:rRNA from 1 species